CCUGUCUGCAAUUAUGGUGGCAGCCUCUGGCCAACCUUCCCUGGGCUCAGAAGCUAAGCAGAAUUGGGUCUGGUUAGUACUUGGAUGGGAAAGCAACAAGAUAUUCUAGGACACAGCCUAGA
rnacentral:rRNA from 1 species